GGCUUCUGGACAGUACUGACGCUGAGAUGCGAAGCGUGGGGAGCAAACAGGAUUAGAUACCUGGUAGUCACGCUGUAAACGAUGUCGAUUUGGAGUUUGUUGCCUAGAGUGAUGGGCUCCGAAGCUAACGCGAUAAAUCGACCGCCUGGGGAGUACGGCCGCAAGGUUAAAACUCAAAUGAAUUGACGGGGGCCCGCACAAGCGGUGGAGCAUGUGGUUUAAUUCGAUGCAACGCGAAGAACCUUACCUGGUCUUGACAUCCAUAGAAUUCUGCAGAGAUGUGGGAGUGCCUUCGGGAACUAUGAGACAGGUGCUGCAUGGCUGUCGUCAGCUCGUGUUGUGAAAUGUUGGGUUAAGUCCCGCAACGAGCGCAACCCUUAUUCUUUGUUGCCAGCGAUUUGGUCGGGAACUCAAAGGAGACUGCCGUUGAUAAAGCGGAGGAAGGUGGGGACGACGUCAAGUCAUCAUGGCCCUUACGACCAGGGCUACACACGUGCUACAAUGGCGUAUACAAAGGGAAGCGAAGGUGCGAGCUGGAGCGGAUCUCAUAAAGUACGUCUAAGUUCGGAUUGGAGUCUGCAACUCGACUCCAUGAAGUCGGAAUCGCUAGUAAUCGUAGAUCAGAAUGCUACGGUGAAUACGUUCCCGGGCCUUGUACACACCGCCCGUCACACCAUGGGAGUGGGUUGCACCAGAAGUAGAUAGCUUAACCGCGAGGGGGGCGUUUACCACGGUGUGAUUCAUGACUGGGGUGAAGUCGUAACAAGGUAACCA
rnacentral:rRNA from 1 species